GGGUUGGCGUGAACAGGGAGGUGCUGGAUGAAGGGCAGUGAGCGGGCAGGCAGAGGCUGGAGCCACUCUGUGACGGCGGUGCUCAUCUGUCCAGGAGACCCAAGGGUGCCGGCGUCUGGAGGAAAAGGCCCAGCAAGUGGCAGAGAGGAGGCGGGAGACCAGACCAGGGUGCGGGGGGAGGGUUUCCUCCUAGUGACUUGUCGCCCGGGCUGUGUCCCUGUUCCCGGAAAGCCUGUCAGGAGGUGACCAAAGGAGCAUGUGCAAGCAUGGACAGCGGAGAAGGAUCUCUGUCCGAGCCUCGAUCAAGAGCACAGGUCAUCUCUGACGGUACUGAAAUCUUCAUCAUCCUCAACCAGGAGAUUCUACAUUUCAAAUAAUGAAGGAACAAUGUUUUCGGAUCUCUUCUUAGCCUACUUUUAAGGCGUAUGCAAAAAAAUACAUCAACAGAAGGAUAUCUGAACUGACGUAAAUUAAACAACGAACGUAAGACAUGCUGGUGCUGGAAAUAUGCUCGGCCAGCAGUGGAAAUGCCGCGCCGGCCUCUGAGCACACAGCCCCACAGACGGCCGGCACAGGGGCUCGGACAGAGGACGACAUAGGCACAGGGUCCUCCCCAGCCAGGAGCACAGCUAUUUCAGAAAUCCUGUCACAGCGGCCACCUGCACACCUCCACAGUGACCACCGUGGGCGUCUGUUAACUCUCCGGUGUCCCCAGAUGCUGUUCCCACGUUCUCCCGAGAGACCAGACCUCUCCACUCCUGGCACGUGCCAUCGGCUUCGUACGUGGACAUCAUUCGCCAUGAGCCCUGGCCACCCCUGCCCCCAUCCCGGCUCAGCACAUGGGGACACGUCGCUUGUGCGACAGCACAUGGCUCUGACGCUGAGCAGUGCUCACAGGAACAUGUGCAUCCCAAAGUGGCCAUUCUGACGCUCGCCACCUGCCACCAUCUUGUGUGGCUGACCACCUCCGUCGUGUGCCUUUGGGAGGGGCAGCUACGUGCUAAGAUACUGAGGACACGCAGGAGGGUUUUGCUUUUACAAGUAGCUCUCAGGUGAGAAAAAGUAACAAA